rnacentral:rRNA from 1 species
GACGAACGCUGGCGGCGUGCUUAACACAUGCAAGUCGAACGGUGAAGCGCCUUCCUUUUUGGUGGGUGUGGAUGAGUGGCGAACGGGUGAGUAACACGUGAGUAACCUGCCCCCUUCUUCUGGAUAACCGCAUGAAAGUGUGGCUAAUACGGGAUAUUCUGGGUCUGUCGCAUGAUGGGUCUGGGAAAGAUAUUGUUUCGGUGGGGGAUGGGCUCGCGGCCUAUCAGCUUGUUGGUGGGGUGAUGGCCUACCAAGGCGGUGACGGGUAGCCGGCCUGAGAGGGUGGACGGGCAACAUGGGACUGAGCAACGGCCCGGACUCGUACGGGAGGCAGCAGUGGGGAAUAUUGCACAAUGGGCGAAAGCCUGAUGCAGCGAGGCCGCGUGAGGGAUGGAGGCCUUCGGGUUGUGAACCUCUUUCGCCAGUGAAGCAGGCCUGCCUCGUUUGUGGGUGGGUUGACGGUAGCUGGAUAAGAAGCGCCGGCUAACUACGUG